UACGAGGGGGGCAAGCGUUGUUCGGAAUUAUUGGGCGUAAAGCGCGCGCAGGCGGUCCUUUAAGUCUGAUGUGAAAGCCCACGGCUCAACCGUGGAGGGUCAUUGGAAACUGGGGGACUUGAGUACAGAAGAGAAGAGUGGAAUUCCACGUGUAGCGGUGAAAUGCGUAGAGAUGUGGAGGAACACCAGUGGCGAAGGCGACUCUUUGGUCUGUAACUGACGCUGAGGCGCGAAAGCGUGGGGAGCAAACAGG
rnacentral:rRNA from 1 species